rnacentral:lncRNA from 1 species
GCCCCCCCUGUAAAGAUGGACGGCGGGCGCUGACCCCCCCUUUCCUCUUUCGAUCCUAGAGCUGUUACGUCAGGUAGCGCGCUCCGGACCCCCGGCCUCAGGUGACGAGCCAGGUGGGUCCUCGUCCCAUCCCUGCCCCAUAACCCCCCCAACAGGGGACCCCCACCCCAAUUAUAACCUCACCCCCCAUCACACACCAUCAGUCUGUGUCCCUGUGUCCAUUAUGGACAUGGAGAUGGGGGUCCUUAGGGGCUCCCUUGGGGUCCCCAUAUCCAUCUAUGGGACAUUAGAGGGGUCCUUGGGUCCCUUCGGGGUCCCAUGUCCCUUAUGGACACUGAAGGACCCUUGGGGUGUCCCCAUAUCCCUUAUGGACAUGGAGAUGGGGGUCCUUGGGGUCCCUUGGGGUCCCCAUGUCCCUUAUGGACACUGAAGGACCCUUGGGGUGUUCCCCAUGUCCCCCCCUAUGUCCC